ACCCAUCCCGAGCCUUUACUUUCUUUUUUGGUUCAUUAUUUGGGCAGCUUUUUGAGACAGGCUCACUGUUUAGCCCCAGGUUGACUUCCUGGAAAAGGCAUGUGCUUUUUUGUACAUCCAGUGGACAAAGGAUUUCCAAACCACGUGUGAUGGCCCAGUCCGUUAUUCCUGUUCUUGGAGUGGAGGGAGACCAGCUCAAUCCUUAACUCUGUAGCAAAUUGAAGGCCCAGUUGGGCUACAUGACAGCAUGGCUAAGGCCCAAAACAGACUGCUAUUCCCGAAUGUCUUGCUUAUAUAUUUUUUUUUGGGGGGGGGGGGGUGCGAGUAUCUAGUAUUUAUAACAGUACACUAUUUAGGACAUAAUUUUAUUGCUAGUAAAAUGUACAGACAAUACCUCCUACAUUUAGCUUUUAUUCUUUGGUGCCUUGGGAUGAUCAGCUUUUAAUAUUUGUGUGGGGGCUGUGUGCAUGUCAGAGAACAAGUCGAGGGGAUUGGUUCUGUACUGCCAUGUGGGUCAUCCCCCAGGCUCAAGCUCUCUGCCUGGGCCCAUUUCUUUAUUCAUACUUACGUUUUUAUUUGGAGGCUCUUGUGGGAAUCUUUUUACUGGGAACGUCUACUAUUCCAUUCUUGUACGUGGUAAGAAAUGUUAAAUGACCACCUUUUCUUUCAAACUCAAUAAAACAAAUUUAGUGCUUGAGUGGUUGUCUGUUUCUGUGGGACCGACUCUGAGACUAUCUCCCAUACAGAGUAGGGCCCUGUUAGAAACAGAGGCUGUGGUGAGCUUACAGCCAUCAGCUACAGAUGAGCAGAGGUGUUAGCCCCUCUGGCCCCAGCUGCUGGUGGCUGCCUGCUUGUCAUCUUGAAACUGACUGGAACCAACCUACCUUCCCAGGGCCCGAGAGAGUGCAAUCUAUAUAAGCCUUCGUUCUAACCAGUGAGGUGGGGCAUUCACGAAGGGAAGGAGGCUGGACCGGCCAUAGCAGAAGAGGACAGUGGUCUUAUCCAAUGAAGUGUCUUAGAACGAAGAGACGGCUGAGCAGUGAGGAGCAUGAAGUGCUGAAGUAGGAGCUCCAGCUUCAGGAGACCCAAUGCCUCUGGCCAUCACAGGUACCUGGACUCAUACUCACACACAUGCAAACA